UGCCUUUGGAUGUGUAUUUAAUGACCAAAAUUCCUCCACAUUUGUUAAAAUCUUAACUAUCUGAUAUUUCAAGAUAUGUGAUGAUGCAUAUGACAUAUGAAUGGUUAAGAUUACAUAUUCUCAUUAAUUCUCUUAUAAUAAUACAAAUAUUAUGCAGUUCCUAUAUGAUCUUAUUAGUUUCAUACUUGAUAUGAGUAAAUAUCACUCAAAAC
rnacentral:lncRNA from 1 species